rnacentral:rRNA from 1 species
CACGUAGUUAGCCGGGGCUUCUUGGUCAGGUACCGUCAUUGCUUUCUUCCCUGCUGACAGAGCUUUACAUACCGAAAUACUUCUUCACCCACGCGGCGUCGCUGGAUCAGGGUUCCCCCCAUUGUCCAAUAUCCCCCACUGCUGCCUCCCGUAGGAGUUUGGGCCGUGUCUCAGUCCCAAUGUGGCCGUCCACCCUCUCAGGCCGGCUACUGAUCGUCGCCUUGGUGGGCCUUUACCCCGCCAACCAGCUAAUCAGACGCGGAUCCAUCUUGCACCACCGGAGUUUUUCACACUGUCCCAUGCAGGACCGUGCGCUUAUGCGGUAUUAGCACCUAUUUCUAAGUGUUAUCCCCCAGUGCAAGGCAGGUUACCCACGCGUUACUCACCCGUCCGCCACUAAGAUUGCACUUGAUUUGACCGAAAUCGCAUCUCCGUGUAAUCCCCGUUCGACUUGCAUGUGUUAAGCACGCCGCCAGCGUUCAUCCUGAGCCAGGAUCGAAACUCU